GUGUUUGCUUUGGCAGCACAUAUAGGAAAAUUGGAAUGAUAUAGAGAAGAUUAGAAUGGCCCCUGCACAAGGGUGACAUGCAAAUUCGUGAAGAUUUCUUUU